AUGAACGCUAGCGGGAGGCUUAAUACAUGCAAGUCGAGCGGGAUUCUCCUUCGGGAGAUGAGAGCGGCGCACGGGUGAGUAACGCGUACGUAACCUGCCUUACGAGAGGGGAAUAGCCCUGGGAAACUGGGAUUAAUACGUCCAUAGUAUAUAGAUGGCGCAUGCUGUUUAUAGUUAAAGUUGAGGCGCUGUAAGAUGGGCGUGCGUGCUAUUAGCUAGUUGGUGAGGUAACGGCUCACCAAGGCUACGAUAGCUAGGGGGCGUGAGAGCGUGGCCCCCCACACGGGUACUGAGACACGGACCCGACUCCUACGGGAGGCAGCAGUAAGGAAUAUUGGACAAUGGUCGGAAGACUGAUCCAGCCAUCCCGCGUGCAGGAUGACUGCCCUAUGGGUUGUAAACUGCUUUUAUAUGGGAAGAAUAGCAUAGAUUCAUCUGUGUAUGACGGUACCAUAUGAAUAAGCACCGGCUAACUCCGUG
rnacentral:rRNA from 1 species